UUACGGCCAUAUCACGUUGAAACACCGACUUUCCUACGACCACCGAAGUUAAGCAACGUUGAAUCUGGUCAGUAUCUAAAUGGGUGACGACUAGGAAAUACCAGGUACUGUAAG